AAUGUAUUUGUUGCAGUGCACGUCUUGUAGUCAGUUCGGAAGUCCCUCCAGUUUUUUCGGUAGUUACUCCCGCAAUGUGGUCUUCAGGAUCGGGUUUGCACCAUUCCAAUUCAACCAAACAGAGGUAUUUCCGUGAUUACAGGAAUAGUAAAGUGGUUCAACGACAGUAAGGGCUACGGCUUUAUUACCCGGCAGGACGGCGGCAAGGAUGUAUUCGUACAUCACUCGGCCAUCCAGGGUGACGGCUUCAAGUCCCUGGCGGAGGGCCAAAAGGUAACCUUCGACGUGGAGCAGGGUCCGAAGGGCCCGUCGGCGGCGACAGUCCAGCCAGCCUAAACAUCAAGCUCUGCGUAAGCAGGUUUCACGAGACCCCGCCACCCGGCGGGGUCUUUUUU
rnacentral:sRNA from 1 species